GGGCUCACUUCGGCAGCACAUAUACUAAAUGGGAAGGAGACAGAGGAGAUGGGCACGGCCCCUGUGCAAGGAUGACACGCAAAUUCAUGAAUCCUUCCAUAUUUUU
rfam:Otolemur garnettii contig139520, whole genome shotgun sequence.